CCCUUAGAUGUUCUGGGCCGCACGCGCGCUACACUGUUCGACGCAGCGAGUCUUAACCUUGACCGAAAGGUUUGGGUAAUCUUCAGCAAAGUCGAACGUGAUGGGGAUCGAUCAUUGCAAUUAUUGAUCGUGAACGAGGAAUUCCUAGUAAGUGCAAGUCAUCAGCUUGCGCUGAUUACGUCCCUGCCCUUUGUACACACCGCCCGUCGCUACUACCGAUUGAAUGGUUUAGUGAGAGCUCUGGAUUGACGCUGGCUAGGGGGCGACCCUUGGCCAGACUGUUGAGAAACUGCUCAAACUUGAUCAUUUAGAGGAAGUAAAAGUCGUAACA
rnacentral:rRNA from 1 species